ACAUAUUUUAAUAACCUCAGUUCUGGGCUGUUUUUCUUGUCAGGCAAACAGGGCAGCUCCAGGUUUUGAGCGCCCAUCAUCAAUCCGGAGGGGAACGCUCGGUUUCAACUAUUCUCUAUCUUGUUUCUCUGCAAGAUAUCACAAACUGUCCUUUCCGUGUCGUUGAUGAAAUCAAUCAAGGAAUGGAUCCAAUAAAUGAAAGGAAAAUGUUUCAGCAACUUGUGAGAGCUGCAACAUUACAUAAUACACCCCAGUGCUUCUUACUGACGCCAAAAUUGCUUCCUGAUCUUGAGUACAGUGAUGCCUGCAGCAUUUUGAACAUCAUGAAUGGUCCUUGGAUCGAAAAGCCUUCUGAAGGUAUUUGUAUGUAGCAUCCAAAAA